rnacentral:lncRNA from 1 species
AGUGACAACAAAAGAAAUGGAAGAAUAUCUGAAGCAGAAGAUGGCACUUGGCACUAGAGGACUCAGGUCUCUYUGCAGUAAUGGUUAGACAUCUAACCUGCAGUGAAUGAACUUUGUAAAAUGAAGGAAAACCUUGCCAUCUUCAGAAAGAAUGGUUUUGCUUUCAUGAAACAGGAAGAAAGCAGCUUCAUUUUACAUAAUACAGUGAACUGAAAAAUGUUUUCUUCAUCCUGCUCCACUCUAAACCUAGGUCACUUUCUUCUCCUGCACUGGAAGGAGCACUGUCCCGCUCCCCAUCCUUACGGCUGGCACCACACAACAACCCCAGCACCCACGAGCAGCACUUGUAUAAGAAAGUCCUCUCCUGUUUUCUUCCACAUCUCAGCACCAAACUCCAUCCAAAAUAAGUGAGAUCCAGAGGACCUGCCUGUCAGAUUAACAGGUCUCUGGUGAUCAGACAUGGGCUGGCUGGGAUAUUUGUAACAAAAGUCGAGUCGAUUUGCAGUGUAAUACUAAAA